rnacentral:rRNA from 1 species
AUUGAACGCUGGCGGCAUGCCUUACACAUGCAAGUCGAACGGCAGCACGGGAGCAAUCCUGGUGGCGAGUGGCGAACGGGUGAGUAAUACAUCGGAACGUGCCCAAUCGUGGGGGAUAACGCAGCGAAAGCUGUGCUAAUACCGCAUACGAUCUACGGAUGAAAGCAGGGGACCGCAAGGCCUUGCGCGAAUGGAGCGGCCGAUGGCAGAUUAGGUAGUUGGUGGGGUAAAGGCUCACCAAGCCAACGAUCUGUAGCUGGUCUGAGAGGACGACCAGCCACACUGGGACUGAGACACGGCCCAGACUCCUACGGGAGGCAGCAGUGGGGAAUUUUGGACAAUGGGCGCAAGCCUGAUCCAGCCAUGCCGCGUGCAGGAUGAAGGCCUUCGGGUUGUAAACUGCUUUUGUACGGAACGAAACGGACUUUUCUAAUAAAGAGGGCUAAUGACGGUACCGUAAGAAUAAGCACCGGCUAACUACGUG